rnacentral:tRNA from 1 species
GUGGCUGUGGCUCAGCGGUAGAGUGCUUGCCUUGCAUGUGCGAGACCCUGGGUUCAAUCCUCAGCACCACA